rnacentral:rRNA from 1 species
UACGAAGGGGGCAAGCGUUGUUCGGAAUUACUGGGCGUAAAGGGCGCGUAGGCGGCUUAUCAAGUCAGGCGUGAAAUUCCCGGGCUCAACCUGGGGGCUGCGCUUGAUACUGAUUGGCUUGAAUGCGGGAGAGGAUAGUGGAAUUCCCAGUGUAGAGGUGAAAUUCGUAGAUAUUGGGAAGAACACCAGUGGCGAAGGCGACUACCUGGCCUGUUCUUGACGCUGAGGCGCGAAAGCUAGGGGAGCAAACGGG